rnacentral:misc_RNA from 1 species
UCUUUUACCAUGAGCCCAAUGGCCUUGGCUUGUGAUAGUGGCUAUGAGAGAGAGAGAGAGAGAGGUGUAGGGCACUCUCUCUACCUACUUGGACUUACUUUAUCACAAGGGCUAACCUCUAUUAUUGAUUUCUAAAGUUUGUCUUGUUGCUUCUUUUAUUAAAUUCCCUCAUCAUACAUUCAUGCAAGCUAUGGUUACACACACAUUUAAAUUUAACCAUU